AACAAACGCUGGCGGCGUGCCUAAUACAUGCAAGUCGAACGAGGUAGCAAUACCUAGUGGCGCACGGGUGAGUAACGCGUGGAUAAUCUGCCUUUGAGUGGGGGAUAACUAGUCGAAAGAUUAGCUAAUACCGCAUAAGACCACAGGAACUGAGGUUCUAGGGGUUAAAGGUUUUUCGCUCAUAGAUAAGUCCGCGUGAGAUUAGCUAGUUGGUGAGGUAACGGCUCACCAAGGCGACGAUCUCUAACUGGUCUGAGAGGAUGAUCAGUCACACUGGAACUGAGACACGGUCCAGACUCCUACGGGAGGCAGCAGUAGGGAAUAUUGCACAAUGGAGGAAACUCUGAUGCAGCGACGCCGCGUGAGUGAUGAAGGCUUUCGGGUCGUAAAGCUCUGUCGCAGGGGAAUAACACGAUGAAUGUACCCUGUAAGAAAGGAUCGGCUAACUUCGUGCCAGCCGCCGCGGUAA
rnacentral:rRNA from 1 species